rnacentral:lncRNA from 1 species
UUGGAGCCAGAUUCUUGUUGGUGGGUUGAUGUUGAAGAGCCUCCUUCUUAUUGCGUAGAAAGCCCUGAGUGCCUUCUCCCUCAGUGCCUCUCUCCCUCUCUCUCUCUCCCUGCAGCUCCUGUGUCAGGUGCUGGAACAGGGUGGAGAUGUCUUCCGCCUGCAGCACCUGCAGGUAAACCCCCUCCUCUCCAAUCUCUCACGUCGAGGUGUCCAAGCGUCCGCGUCUGACUGGGGCUCUCCGGGCGGACAUGUUGCGUGAGUCUCCCUGAGACCUCUCUCCAUCUCCGAUCCAGGGCUUCGACUUCCUGGUGCGAGACUGGACCCAGUCUGCGGAGCUGGGCGAGAAUGGGGGAGCCCAGCACCUGGACAAGAUCGUCCAGCGCCUGCAGGACUCCGGCACGUACGAACAGGCUCUCAGGAUCCUGAGGGAGAGGAGGCCGAGCUGCUUCCUGCUGCCCUUCCCUGGGAACAGGCUGGUCUGGAGCCAACGAGGGUCGGUCCAAGACAUGGAUGAGGAGUUUCAGGUCCACCUGAAGGACUAUAUCAACCACACCGCCCAGGUCCUGGAGAGAAGGCAGCCCACCGAGACUGGAGCGACACUGGCAGGGAAGUUCAAGGAAGCAGCUCGUGUCAUUCUUCAAGGCAAAUACAGCAUUUCCUCCCCUGCAGAGGUGAGUCUCCCUGAAGCACAGGAAAAACUACUCAACUGUCUGUCAGUGCGGGACCCUCCCACCAGACUGAAGAGACUCAGUUCCCUCAGCCUGUCCGUGUGGGACACUCCCUUCAGACUGAAGAGACUCAGUUCCCUCAGCCUGUCAGUGCGGGAGAUUCCCUUCAGACUGAAGAGACUCAGUUCC